rnacentral:misc_RNA from 1 species
GUAGGUGAACCUGCGGAAGGAUCAUUAGUGGAAAGUUAAUUCUUACACUUCUUAUACUCUUACGUGAACCCCCCAACUUGGCAUGUUCCGGGAUUGAGUUUCUUUAGCCUUGGCUAUCGAAAGGUUUUCCUGGCCCCUAUUUUGGAGUGACUAUUUCAGUGGAAAAUUCUGUUUAUGCUGAUCAGUGGUGUCUACACAGUGCUUAGCCUGAUUGAAGCUUUCGUGAAGACGAGGCUCUGUACUGUAGCUG